rnacentral:rRNA from 1 species
CGCCCUUAGAGUUUGAUCAUGGCUCAGAGCGAACGCUAGCGGCACGCUUAACACAUGCAAGUCGAACGAAAAUUUGCUUCGGUAAAUUUUAGUGGCGAACGGGUGAGUAAUAUGUAAAAAUCUACCCUUUUGAGAGGGAUAGCCAUGGGAAACUGUGAUUAAUACCUCAUAAGCUCGAAAGAGGAAAGGUCGUAAGACCGCUGAAGGAGGAGUUUGCAUCAGAUUAGAUUGUUGGUGGGGUAAAAGCCUACCAAGUCGAUGAUCUGUAGCUGGUCUGAGAGGAUGAUCAGCCACACUGGGACUGAGAUACGGCCCAGACUUCUACGGAAGGCAGCAGUGAGGAAUAUUGGACAAUGGGGGAAACCCUGAUCCAGCGAUGUCGCGUGAAUGAUGAAGGCCGUAAGGUUGUAAAGUUCUUUCGUCUGUGACGAUAUGACGGUAACAGAAAAAGAAGCUCCGGCUAACUUCGUGCCAGCAGCCGCGGUAAGACGAAAGGAGCAAGCGUUGCUCGGAAUAAUGGGCGUAAAGGGUGCGUAGGCUGUUUUUUAAGUGAAUUGUUAAAGGGCCGGACUCAGUCUGGUAUUUGCAUUUUAGACUAAAAAACUCGAAGGUGGGAGAGGGAAACGGAAUUCCUCAAGUAGAGGUGAAAUUCGUGGA